rnacentral:tRNA from 1 species
GUCAGGAUGUCCGAGCGGUCUAAGGCGCUGCGUUCGGUCGCAGUCUCCCUUGAGGCGUGGUUCGAAUCCCGCUUCUGACA